rnacentral:rRNA from 1 species
GAUGAACGCUGGCGGCGUGCCUAAUACAUGCAAGUCGAGCGAACAGAUGAGGAGCUUGCUCCUCUGACGUUAGCGGCGGACGGGUGAGUAACACGUGGAUAACCUACCUAUAAGACUGGGAUAACUUCGGGAAACCGGAGCUAAUACCGGAUAAUAUAUUGAACCGCAUGGUUCAAUAGUGAAAGACGGUUUUGCUGUCACUUAUAGAUGGAUUCGCGCCGCAUUAGCUAGUUGGUAAGGUAACGGCUUACCAAGGCAACGAUGCGUAGCCGACCUGAGAGGGUGAUCGGCCACACUGGAACUGAGACACGGUCCAGACUCCUACGGGAGGCAGCAGUAGGGAAUCUUCCGCAAUGGGCGAAAGCCUGACGGAGCAACGCCGCGUGAGUGAUGAAGGUCUUCGGAUCGUAAAACUCUGUUAUUAGGGAAGAACAAAUGUGUAAGUAACUAUGCACGUCUUGACGGUACCUAAUCAGAAAGCCACGGCUAACUACGUG